AAUCUUGGACAAUGGGGGCAACCCUGAUCCAGCCAUCCCGCGUGUCCGAUGAAGGCCUUCGGGUUGUAAAGCACUUUUGGCAGGGCAGUAAAGGCUCUGGCUACUACCUGGACCUUCUGACGGUACCUGCAGAAUAAGCGCGGGCUCACUCCGCUCCAGCACCCGCGGUAAUACGUAGGGUGCAAGCGUUAAUCGUAAUUAGUGGGCGUAAAGCGUGCGCAGGCGGUUCGGCAAGAAGGAUGUGAAAUCCCAGGGCUUAACCUUGGAACUGCAUUCUUAACUGCCGGGCUAGAGUAUGUCAGAGGGGGGUAGAAUUCCGCGUGUAGCAGUGAAAUGCGUAGAGAUGCGGAGGAAUACCGAUGGCGAAGGCAGCCCCCUGGGAUAAUACUGACGCUCAUGCACGAAAGCGUGGGGAGCAAA
rnacentral:rRNA from 1 species